AACGUGGUCGUUGCGCAGUGAUCUGGUUGCAAAGAUCUUUCCACAAGUGUCCCGAUCACACUAAACAUAAAAUAAUUUUUGUUUUUUUAGAUACGAUUGUAAAUAUUACUAGUCUUUGAAAACAACGGUCUAAUAGCAUCUUAUUAACUAUAAUAAAGCGAGGACAUGAAAAAAGAACUUUUCACAAGUCAGCCAAAAUUUUAUAGUGUAAUGCGAGAGCCUAUUUUGUUGAUAAAAAAAAUUGUGUACACCAUUAGAAUGCCAAAGUAAUUUGGAUUCUUCAAUUUCGGAUUCUCUUUUACAAGCCCAGUGCAGGCUCAUUGCUGUGAAUACUACUGACAUGAAGCCAGCGUUCCCAUUUGCUUGGAUUCUCCCAUUGGUGCUAGUGGUUCGGACUGGAAGAUGAGAGUACAAGAUUAACUAUCUAGAGUGUGAUUGAUGUGGGCACGUGUAAGACUCAAGAGCUUCAUAAGCAAUUGAGAAUGGAUUCGGUCGACAAAUAAAUGGACGGUUCGAAGUAAUCAGGGUGAAUCUGAUGGCAUUGUUAGCAUGAUACACCAAUUAUUUCUAAUCAAUUUUGUAAGCAUAAUGUGUUACACAGGCUUAGACGAUAUGAAUGAGUAACCAAUGAUAAAUAUUUUUUACACACCG